rnacentral:misc_RNA from 1 species
AAGUCGUAACAAGGUUUCCGUAGGUGAACCUGCGGAAGGAUCAUUAACACGUAUCCAACGUUAAACAACAGGCGGAACAGCAAUCCCGGUAAAUCAGUGGGCGGAAAGUUUUGAUUCGGGACCUCUGUCCAAAAGUUACAAUCGAGCUAGGAGCAGUGGCAUGGUUUCCCUAAGCAGUGCAGAAGGAUCCACUGAGUAAGGAUAACGCAUCACGGUUGCCAGAGGUCGAUCACCGGCCGGCAGACAUGUCACAGGGCUAUAUGCCCCUUCAUUCACACCUUGCUCUCUCAUGCCCGCCGGAAACGCCGGGCACAAAAACCGAACAACUGUUAACAAUGGAUAUCUUGGUUCUC